rnacentral:rRNA from 1 species
UACAGAGGGGGCAAGCGUUGUUCGGAAUUACUGGGCGUAAGGGGCGCGUAGGCGGCCUGUUAAGUCGAACGUGAAAUCCCCGGGCUCAACCCGGGAACUGCGUCCGAUACUGGCAGGCUUGAAUCCGGGAGAGGGAUGCGGAAUUCCAGGUGUAGCGGUGAAAUGCGUAGAUAUCUGGAGGAACACCGGUGGCGAAGGCGGCAUCCUGGACCGGCAUUGACGCUGAGGCGCGAAGGCCAGGGGAGCAAACGGG